rnacentral:misc_RNA from 1 species
GAUGAAGAACGUAGCGAAAUGCGAUAAGUAAUGUGAAUUACAGAAUUCAGUGAAUCAUCGAAUCUUUGAACGCACCUUGCGCCCUUUGGCUAUUCCAGAGGGCAUGCCUGUUUGAGUAUCAUGAACACCUCAACUCUCAUGGUUCUGCCAUGAUGAGCUUGGACUUUGGAGGUCUUGCUGGCCCCUGUGGUCAGCUCCUCUCAAAUGGAUCAGCUUGCCAGUGUUUGGUGGCAUCACAGGUGUGAUAACUAUCUACGCUUGUGGUUUUCCACCAGGUAACCUUCAGUGAUGGAGGUUCGCUGGAGCUCAUAAACGUCUCUCCUCAGCGAGGACAGCUUCUUGAACGUUUGAUCUCAAAUCAGGUAGGGCUACCCGCUGAACUUAAGCAUAUCAAUAAGCGGAGGA